AGCAGUCGCCGCGGUAAUACGGAGGGUGCAAGCGUUAAUCGGAAUUACUGGGCGUAAAGCGCGCGCAGGCGGUCUGUCAAGUCAGAUGUGAAAUCCCCGGGCUUAACCUGGGAACUGCAUUUGAAACUGGCAGGCUAGAGUCUUGUAGAGGGGGGUAGAAUUCCAGGUGUAGCGGUGAAAUGCGUAGAGAUCUGGAGGGAUACCGGUGGCGAAGGCGGCCCCCUGGACAAAGACUGACGCUCAGGUGCGAAAGCGUGGGGAGCAAACAGGAUUAGAUACCCCGGUAGUCCCUGUCUCUUAUAC
rnacentral:rRNA from 1 species